rnacentral:snRNA from 1 species
GUGCUCACUUCGGCAGCACAUAUACUAAAAUUGAAACGAUACAGAGAAGAUUAGCAUGGCCCCUGCACAAGGAUGACAUGCAAAUUCAUGAAGCAUUCCAUAUUUUU